ensembl:processed_transcript E130215H24Rik RIKEN cDNA E130215H24 gene
GCGUUUACCCUGCUGAUCUGGGGGCCCUGAGUCAGAAAAGCCUGGACUCUUGGAGCAUGGGCUCUCUCCAUCUAGGCCUAUCUGGGGUCCUAAGCUUUGUGUCUGAAGACAAAGCCCCCUAGAAUCUGUGUUAGGGUAGAACACUCUGAGGUUAAACCGGGUAUCCCCAGUUUCCCGCUAGAGACAGCGCUGCAGACUUGGGAGGGUAACUGCUGCUUCGCCAGCUGCAGUCUCUAGAUCCGGUGGAAUACAGAACAAAGUGACGUGACCCAAGGAUUAGGGUGGGUGGUGAAGCAUUCUGGAGAAAAGAGCCAAGGCCUGGGGGCAGCUGCUACUGACUGGAGCCUCCCGAGUCUCGGCGAAAAUGAGCUGGACCCAGCAAGGCACUCACCAGACACAUUCAACUGGCCUCCCAGGAACCAGCCGAUCUUGCCCGUCCUGAAGUCACAGUCCCAGACAGUAUGACCAAAUAACUUUCUGGCUGGCGACAGAAGCUGCAAGUACACGGUUGGCCCAGCCUCCGGACCUGGGACACAGGCAGCGCUCUGAGAUAAGAUUGGGAACGCGUCUAAGUGGUCAUAAGAGCGAAGCAGCUCACAGAUGGUGUGGAUGAACCGUCAGUUGGUUCAGCAUACCAUAGAUUGAAGUCAAAGCUUUCCUCCUUAGGAGACCUUCUGAGAGUAAAGCCCUCUCCCAAUGGUGUGGGCCUGUACAACCAUGCCACACACACAUAAAUCACCCGCAGCGGGCUAAAGGGCUGAUGAGCAACCCUGGGGGCCUUCAAACAGGAAAGGAGGUGCUAUGAAGGCCUGAGUCCAGUAACAAUAUUUUGGUUACCAGCUGCUGACCUCUGCCAGGGCAGGUACCACUUCCUUGGGACCCUUUGCUGAUUCCAGGUGGUGGGAAGCUAUGGGAAAGAAUAAAUCAAUGUCCAUAUCA